GACGAACGCUGGCGGCGUGCUUAACACAUGCAAGUCGAACGGAAAGGCCCUGCUUUUGUGGGGUGCUCGAGUGGCGAACAGGUGAGUAACACGUGAGUAACCUGCCCUUGACUUUGGGAUAACUUCAGGAAACUGGGGCUAAUACCGGAUAGGAGCUCCUGCUGCAUGGUGGGGGUUGGAAAGUUUCGGCGGUUGGGGAUGGACUCGCGGCUUAUCAGCUUGUUGGUGGGGUAGUGGCUUACCAAGGCUUUGACGGGUAGCCGGCCUGAGAGGGUGACCGGCCACAUUGGGACUGAGAUACGGCCCAGACUCCUACGGGAGGCAGCAGUGGGGAAUAUUGCACAAUGGGCGGAAGCCUGAUGCAGCAACGCCGCGUGCGGGAUGACGGCCUUCGGGUUGUAAACCGCUUUCGCCUGUGACGAGGCGUGAGUGACGGUAAUGGGUAAAGAAGCACCGGCUAACUACGUG
rnacentral:rRNA from 1 species